GGGCGGUUGGCGCGGUGGUAGCGCACUUCCCUGACACGGAAGGGGUCACAAGUUCGAAUCUUGUAUCGCCCA
rnacentral:tRNA from 1 species